UGCUUAUUUUGCCCAGGCGGAGCUCGACCGCCCACUGAAGCGAUGAUUACCUUCAUCGACGAACAUCGCUCCGUACUUGGGGUCGAGCCGAUCUGCAGGCUUCUGCCGAUUGCCCCA
rfam:Martelella sp. AD-3 plasmid unnamed1, complete sequence.